rnacentral:rRNA from 1 species
GACAGAGGUGCCGAGCGUUAGGCGGAAUCACUGGGCUUAAAGCGUGUGUAGGCGGACCGUUAAGUGUCUUGUGAAAUCCCACGGCUCAACCGUGGAACGGCUGGGCAUACUGGCGGUCUUGAGCGGUCCAGGGGCGAGCGGAACAAGCGGUGGAGCGGUGAAAUGAGUAGAUAUCGCUUGGAACGCCGACGGUGAAAACAGCUCGCUGGGGACCCGCUGACGCUGAGACACGAAAGCCAGGGGAGCGAACGGG